ensembl:snRNA U6 U6 spliceosomal RNA
AUGCUCACUUUGGCAGCACAUAUACUAAAAUUGGAGUGUUACAGAGAAGAUUAGAAUGGCCCCUGAGCAAAGAUAACACACAAAUUUGUGAAGCUUUCCAUAUUUUA